UCGAAGGUAGCAUAAUCAGUAGUUUUUUAAUUGAAAACUUGUAUGAAUGGUUCCAUGAGAUAUUUUCUGUUUCAUAAAAAUUUUAGUAUAAAUUAAUUUUUUAGUUAAAAAGCUAAAAUAUGAUUAAAAGACGAGAAGACCCUAUAGAGUUUUAUAUAAUUUAAUUUAUAAUUUAUUUAUAAUAUUUAAAAUUUUAAAUUAAUUUAUAUUUUGUUGGGGUGACAGUAAAAUUUAAUUAUCUUUUAUUUUUUAUUAACAAUGAUUUUUGAUUUAUUGAUCCAGUUUUAUUGAUUAAAAGAUUAAAUUACCUUAGGGAUAACAGCGUAAUUUUUUUAGAGAGUUCUUAUCGAUAAAAAUUUUUGCGACCUCGAUGUUGGAUUAA
rnacentral:rRNA from 1 species